GAUGAACGCUGGCGGCAUGCCUAAUACAUGCAAGUCGAACGAACUAUACCAAGCGUAAUGAUGCUUGCAUCAUCACAAUUGGAAUCUAUAGUUAGUGGCGAACGGGUGAGUAACACGUGGGUAACCUGCCCUAAAGUUGAGGAUAACUAUUGGAAACGAUAGCUAAUACUGAAUAAGAUAACAAAUCGCAUGAUAUGUUAUUGAAAGAAGCGUAUGCUUCGCUAUAGGAUGGACCUGCGGUGCAUUAGCUAGUUGGUGUGGUAGAGGCACACCAAGGCAACGAUGCAUAGCCGGGCUGAGAGGCUGAACGGCCACAUUGGGACUGAGACACGGCCCAAACUUCUACGGAAGGCUGCAGUAGGGAAUUUUUCGCAAUGGACGCAAGUCUGACGAAGCAAUGCCGCGUGAGGGAAGACGGUUUUCGGAUUGUAAACCUCUGUUAUAAGGGAAGAACAGCAUUUAUAGGAAAUGAUGAAUGUGUGACGGUACCUUAUCAGAAAGGGACGGCUAACUACGUGCCAGCCGCCGCGGUAAAAC
rnacentral:rRNA from 1 species